GACGAACGCUGGCGGCGUGCUUAACACAUGCAAGUCGAACGGAAAGGCCCUGCUUUUGUGGGGUGCUCGAGUGGCGAACGGGUGAGUAACACGUGAGUAACCUGCCCUUGACUUUGGGAUAACUUCAGGAAACUGGGGCUAAUACCGGAUAGGAGCUCCUGCUGCAUGGUGGGGGUUGGAAAGUUUCGGCGGUUGGGGAUGGACUCGCGGCUUAUCAGCUUGUUGGUGGGGUAGUGGCUUACCAAGGCUUUGACGGGUAGCCGGCCUGAGAGGGUGACCGGCCACAUUGGGACUGAGAUACGGCCCAGACUCCUACGGGAGGCAGCAGUGGGGAAUAUUGCACAAUGGGCGGAAGCCUGAUGCAGCAACGCCGCGUGCGGGAUGACGGCCUUCGGGUUGUAAACCGCUUUCGCCUGUGACGAAGCGUGAGUGACGGUAAUGGGUAAAGAAGCACCGGCUAACUACGUGCCAGCAGCCGCGGUGAUACGUAGGGUGCGAGCGUUGUCCGGAUUUAUUGGGCGUAAAGGGUUCGUAGGUGGUUGAUCGCGUCGGAAGUGUAAUCUUGGGGCUUAACCCUGAGCGUGCUUUCGAUACGGGUUGACUUGAGGAAGGUAGGGGAGAAUGGAAUUCCUGGUGGAGCGGUGGAAUGCGCAGAUAUCAGGAGGAACACCAGUGGCGAAGGCGGUUCUCUGGGCCUUUCCUGACGCUGAGGAGCGAAAGCGUGGGGAGCGAACAGGCUUAGAUACCCUGGUAGUCCACGCUGUAAACGGUGGGUACUAGGUGUGGGGUCCAUUCCACGGGUUCCGUGCCGUAGCUAACGCUUUAAGUACCCCGCCUGGGGAGUACGGCCGCAAGGCUAAAACUCAAAGGAAUUGACGGGGCCCCGCACAAGCGGCGGAGCAUGCGGAUUAAUUCGAUGCAACGCGUAGAACCUUACCUGGGUUUGACAUGGAUCGGGAGUGCUCAGAGAUGGGUGUGCCUCUUUUGGGGUCGGUUCACAGGUGGUGCAUGGCUGUCGUCAGCUCGUGUCGUGAGAUGUUGGGUUAAGUCCCGCAACGAGCGCAACCCUUGUUCACUGUUGCCAGCACGUUAUGGUGGGGACUCAGUGGAGACCGCCGGGGUCAACUCGGAGGAAGGUGGGGAUGACGUCAAGUCAUCAUGCCCCUUAUGUCCAGGGCUUCACGCAUGCUACAAUGGCUGGUACAGAGAGUGGCGAGCCUGUGAGGGUGAGCGAAUCUCGGAAAGCCGGUCUCAGUUCGGAUUGGGGUCUGCAACUCGACCUCAUGAAGUCGGAGUCGCUAGUAAUCGCAGAUCAGCAACGCUGCGGUGAAUACGUUCCCGGG
rnacentral:rRNA from 1 species